rnacentral:rRNA from 1 species
CAAUAGCGUAUAUUUAAGUUGUUGCAGUUAAAAAGCUCGUAGUUGGAUUUCGGAUGGGACUUGCCGGUCCGUCGUUUCGAUGUGCACUGGCCAGUCCUAUCUUGUUGUCGGGGACUAGCUCCUGGGCUUCACUGUCCGGGGCUAGGAGCUGACGAGGUUACUUUGAGUAAAUUAGAGUGUUCAAAGCAAGCCUACGCUCUGAAUACAUUAGCAUGGAAUAACACGAUAGGACUCUGGCUUAUCUUGUUGGUCUGUGAGACCAGAGUAAUGAUUAAGAGGGACAGUCGGGGGCAUUCGUAUUUCAUUGUCAGAGGUGAAAUUCUUGGAUUUAUGAAAGACGAACUUCUGCGAAAGCAUUUGUCAAGGAUGUUUUCAUUAA